UACGAAGGUCCCAAGCGUUAUCCGGAUUUAUUGGGUUUAAAGGGUGCGUAGGCGGCUUAUUAAGUCAGGGGUGAAAGACGGUGGCUCAACCAUCGCAGUGCCCUUGAUACUGAUGAGCUUGAAUACACUUGAGGUAGGCGGAAUGUGACAAGUAGCGGUGAAAUGCAUAGAUAUGUCACAGAACACCAAUUGCGAAGGCAGCUUACUAAGGUGCAAUUGACGCUGAGGCACGAAAGCGUGGGGAUCAAACAGG
rnacentral:rRNA from 1 species